GCUGAGGUAGCUCAGUUGGUUAGAGCACUUGUUUGAAGCACAAGGGGUCGGCAGUUCGAAUCUGCCUCUCAGCACAA
rnacentral:tRNA from 1 species